AAGAUCCAGCACGGCUGGGGAGGCUUUGGCGUUUCUGCACAAUGCUGCUCAAUCCUGCUUGGGAGCCCAGCCUCAGGUGCGGAAUGAAGCCAAGCAAGCUCGAGGGAAACUGUGUGCUGAAUGCCAGACUGCGUAUUAGAGCUGAUCUUCAUCUCUGCUCGGAAAAGCUUCACGGGCCAAAAGAGAAUGGAGAUGAGGAAGGCAAUGGAGAAUGAUGAGGACUAUUUGCAGUCAGCACCCGUAAGCUUUGUGAAAGAAUCAGGUGCAUUUCUGUAGUGGUAGAAAGCGUAGCUGGAAAGACUUCCUAAGGACGUCAAGUCCAAUUCCUUGUUCUCAGUUAGAGCAAUCCCGUAGUUUAGACUCCUGAUAAGGUAUUUGUCUGUAGGCAGCUGCCAACUUGUCCAGCUAAUCCAAUUCAGCCUGGAAAACAAGCAAGCAAGCAAGCAAGCAAAAAGCACAGAAACCUGCAGUUUAUGGAGUGCAACUGUCUCCUUUCCAAUCGCAUGGGUUUCACCAAGUUUGGGGUGACUCCAGGGCUGGCUUGCCAGGGAGACUUUCUUGAAUUGCUGGCAGAUCAGCCAGAAGGGCAAUACAAGGCCCUGGCUAAACACAAUCUGUAGGCUGCUUCUAGAUCAACAGUUUCCUUGGUUACUCCACAACCUCCACAAUCUCCACUUGCUUCGAAGCUCUGAAGAUUGCAAGUCCACUUUGUGUUUUUCAGCCCCUCUGUGUCAAACGGUAAGAGUUUUCCCUGGCUGUUAAAACAGAAAGGACAACAGCCCCUCCUCUGGGUCUUCAGAAGGCUCCUAAGAUCCCCCAGACUGGCUAAGUAGCGACGCUCUAGUAUAGCUGCAUCUAGAUGCAGUAGAGCUAGAUGGUGGGAGAGAUGGUAUGCUAGAUGGUGCUCUAGCAUGGACGUGACACGCUUUGACAGCAUCUUUUCUCUGACAGCAACUUCUGCCUUGGCUCUUCCCAUCAAGCCAGAGCAGUUUCUUGGCCUGCGCAACCUGCAGACUGACCUCUCGUGUGUAUCCGUGCUGGACUGAGGGUAAUGUUUGGAACACACACUGAUGCUGUAUUCACUAGAACUUUGAGAAGAGAGAGCAAGAAGCUAACCUGCAGACGAGUUUCUUAGGUUUCUGUAGAGAGAGGGAGAUAUACAUGCAUACAUAUUUACUUCUGUCUUUACUUCUUUCAAGAUAGCUUUUGUUCUCCAAAAUGAAUCCUCUGACUGUUACUAAUGUAUGGGACACACCUUGACACUCUAAUGGCAUAGAAAUACUUUUCAGCUCAUCCUUGCUAUUGUUUCUGGAUUGAAAAAAUAAUUGUGAAUAUGAUUACCUGCUUGGAAUCUUUUUUUUUUUUUUAAUAUAUACCUAUUCUAUUAUGAAAUCCUAUAGGAAGGAGUGAACUCAAGAGGAAAAAAAAAAAAAAGAAAACAAUUUUAAUUCCACUUCUAAAUUAGAUAUCUAAUCCUGAUAGAUUCACUCCCUUCCAAACAGAGCUCAACAAAUGAAACAGUAAAAAAUGCACAUAAUAUUUCUUCUAUGCCAAGAUUUCAUGGCACAAUAGUUCUUUGCCUAACCCUGCAAUAGCCCCAUAGGCAUUGCAAUUGCUUACUUGUUCUUCUUCUUUGCUUGUGUUUAGUGUUUGCUUUUCUAAUGUUACAACAUUGGAUUGAUUUCCCUCCUUAGGUAUCAAGAGAAGAAGGCAUUUGCUUCAGAGGACAGUACUUUGAUGCUUUCCAGGGCUAAUGGCCAAAGUUCUCCAAGCACUUUUUUUUUUUUUCUUUUUUUUCUUUUUCCCCAUCAGUGAUUUAUACAUUUGUCAAUCUUUCCAUCUUCAUUUACAACUCCGAAUUUAGGUUUUAGGUGAACAAGAACCCUGAAACCAGCUGAAGCCAUAUCAGACAUGAAGCCAUAUCAGACAUAGUAAGGACAUGUGUCUGUGAGGAAGUAAUUCCGAGUGAUUCUCUGGUGUCCUUUGGACAGCUUUCCUCUGGUCCUCUGCACUAGGCAUCCCCAAGGGAUAUUUCAAAGCUCUCGGCAUGAUCUGUCAUUCUCUCUUCCACUGGAGUUUCCAUUAGAAAAGCGUGACUAUUCCUUGCCCAUGUGGAAAAGAAGUCCUCCUUGAGUUGUUUCUAACCAAAACCUCUUUCUUGUGUUCUAUGGACAGAAACCACUUGGCUAGACAAACUCAAUCCUUGCAAAUGGAAGGAGUGGAAGUACUUCAGCAGCGUGCUUCGGCUUCUAAGCAGAACUGUAAUGUAGGUGGGGACAGAGCAAGAGGACAUGGCCAAGCCAGGGUGGACUUGAAAGUGCCGUGUCCGAGCCACAGCAAGAAAUCCGUGAUUGCCACUUGGAGACGGCUGCUCACCUAGUAGCACAGCAGCUGGAACGCUUCUGGAUCCUGCUGAUGGAUUGCCACGAAUCAGGCAGUGACACAAGCUACGAGAACGACGGAAGUGACUGGAAG